AAUGGGUGGGGAAAAGGAAGGCUCCCAGGCAGGAGUGAGCCUUGUCGGUAGGAGCUUUUAGCAUAGUGUGAGUUUUAGGGUUCAAAUGGAUUUCUGCCACUUUGGGAGUACUGUGGAGUGAGAAGGAAAGCGUGAAGACAACAACAGAAAGUUACUAAACAUCAUCACGCAUUAGCCACUGGCCUGUUGCUCUUCCCUCUUUGGCCAAACUCUAAUAGUUCCAGGAUUCCUACACUGCCACUCGCCACCUUAUCGUCGUCUAAGCCCUGCUGCUUCCGCCUCUCUGCUGAAACGCCCCCUCAGGGAGGGUGACUCUGCUUGCUCAUUCCCUGUAGCACUGUUGUGGGCCUUUACCUAUGCCCUGCAUUUGGCUGACUUUGCGCUUAACAGUCUCAUUCCUUGUCUUGAUCACGCCACUGAUCGUUCCCACCAUCCCAUGGCUCGCCAUACUUAUACCCUAGGUCUUUGUCCCCAGCUUGCUGCUCAGAUUCUCUUAAGCAUCGCUCCUCCCCAGGGGUGAUUCCCUUAAGAUCAAAUCUCCAUAAAGCAACUGCUCCUUUCUCAUAGAUACCACUAGAGUAGAUUAACACAAUUCCAGUGAAUUUAUGUUUGUAAGUCAUAUGUGCCCAUUGGAGACUAAGCUUAAGACAGGAUUGCAUUUUACAUGAAGGUCUUUCCUUGGUACAUUCAAGGGUAUCAGUCCAGGACCUCUGCAGUUAGCAAAUUCUGUAAAAGAUUACGUCUGUAAGAAAUAAAUUGUCAUGGUCUGUUUUCAGCGUGAGGUGCAGUUAGAGCUCAUCAGAGAGUGGCGGAUAAGCAGGAGACCUGGGCCUUUCUCUGCUAGCUGCUAGCUGCUAGCUGGCAUCUGCUUGUCUGAACACUCUGAAAGCUGAGAAGUUGCGGGCAGGCUGCACUUUGACUGUGCCAUAAUUAGAAAAGGGGGUAUCUCAGGUCCCAGAGUACUCACCACCAGGUAGGGCUUUGCAUUGUGAGCCAGGAGAACAGGGGCUUUGGGAAGGCAGGCAUGCUAGAAGAACUGAAGACUGGGCCUCUCUGGAGCAUUGGUCUAUGGGAGAAGAGAGAACAGGACAUGAUCAAGAACUUCAGAAAACCCUGACCUGUGCCAAAUCAGCCAUUUUUGCCUUUUCUCAAUGCUGGUGCCUCUGUCUGCAAAAUGGUUUAUUAAAAACUGCUUCACU
rnacentral:lncRNA from 1 species